rnacentral:lncRNA from 1 species
CUUGUUCAUCUGGCUCUCCCCACCCUCCUACUUUCAGACUUAUCCUUCUAGGUCAGCAAAUCUGGAGAGCCUCUCCUCUUGAUCUAGGGUCAUUAUUACAAUGAAGGGAAGAAAGGAAGACAUGAAGGGGAAAUGGGACUAUUUACCAAGUGUAUCUGCAUAGACUAAAGGAGACAAGAGGAAGUACUGAGCACCUUGAUUCCUGCAGAUAAUUAUUUAAGAACCAUAAGAAUUCUUUCCUAGCUUCUCAUAAGCCUGCUCCUUCAAAGGGUUAACUGCAGUGAAUCAAACUAUUGGAUUAUAAUUCCAUGAAGUAAGUUUAUUGAAGACAAACAGGCCUUGGGCCGCUGCCUCUGUCUCUCCUGCCUUCCCCACUGAAUCUCCAGCCCACAUUCACAAACAAAGACAAACCUGUGUAAACUGAAGCACCACAAAACUACUUUUAUGAAAGCAGAAUGGAAGCAGAUUUCACCUGCAUUUCCUACAUUCAACUGAAUCCUUUAAAUUGACUGAGGCACAUCCUGUACCAAGGAGAGACCUUUGUUACUGCCUUUGAUCCUGAGACCUUCUGAGCCAGGAACCCUGCUUUUAAGAGGAAGGUCUUGGCCAGGCUCAGUGGCUCACACCUGUAAUCCCAGCACUUUGGGAGGCCGAGGCGGG